AACGCACAUUGCACUCUGUUUCGGCAGAGUAUGCCUGUUUGAGAAUCUAUAGUAUUUAUUCUCCUUCCUUAGACUUUAACUAGUCUUCUGCGGGAGAGAUUUGGGGUUUCUGCAUUAGCAGUGCCUUUAAUUCUAUAGUUGACUCUGUAGUCUCUAGCAACGGUUUAGAAUAGUGUCUGACACUUUUGCGACUGUUACUGAAAUUACUUUUAGUAGUCGACCUUUAACUUUUACUACGGUAAAAGUUUAUAAGACUCUGUCUUGAACCAUGGUCUCAAAUCAGGUAGGAAGACCCGCUGAACUUAA
rnacentral:misc_RNA from 1 species